CUAUAUUUUGUAAAAUGUUUUAGUUUUUAAUAUAUUUUUGAGGAUGUAUAAAAUUUGUUAUUUGAACUGGAUUAGUACCCAGGUAAUCAAAGUUUAUUAAUUCGGGAGUAAAGUUUAGUUUAAACCGAAAAAAUAUUGACUGACUUUGGAUUUUUCUUUGGAAUAUGUGGUUUUGGAUAGUCCUCCUUAUUAGUUGAUUUUGUUGGCGCAUGUAUGAUUGUUUAGUUUUUAUUUUAUUUUGUAAUGCUAUUAUAAUUUUUAUUUUAAAAACUAGAUAUAUAUUUGGCUUAUAGAUCGAUAUUUCAUGUGUUACUAUUAUUAAUUUUUUUUGGAUUUUUUU
rnacentral:rRNA from 1 species